GAAGAGAAAGCGUAGAAACAGAGAAAGAAAGAAAAAAAAAUGAGGAAAUUCGAUGCAUGGCCAGUUUUCUUCAAGAGAGAAUGGAACAGGAAUUGGCCUUUCUUGGUUGGAUUCGCUGUAACUGGAGCUCUAGUCACCAAGUUUUCCCUUGGUCUCAGUGAGGAAGAUGCCAAAAACUCCAAAUUCGUUCAAGCACAUAAGAGGUGAUAUCUGAAGGGAAGAAUGACUCUGCUUUGCACGUUGAACUGCAUGCAACAAGAGAGCUGAGCUUGCUUUAGUUUUACAAAUUGAAAUAACCGAAGGGUGUAUUUUACAUACUCUCUUCAUGUUCCUUUCUCCUAAUUUGUUUUGUACUUAAAUGUGAUUUAUGUAUAUUCAUACUAUUCAGUUCUGAAUCAUAAGAUUCACGUGUUUCAUGAGAAUUAUUUUGCUUUGUACUUCGACUCUUCCUUUUUACCUGAGAUAAAACAAAUAUUAACCUGA